UCCCUGGUGGUCCAGUGGUUAGGACUCUGCCCUUCCGCUGCAGGGAACAUGGGUUCGAUCCCUGGUCAGAGAA
rnacentral:tRNA from 1 species